ensembl:lncRNA
CAUUGUGACUCCAGCAGCAGCGGGAUCUGUACAGCACAUAAGUUUUCAACUGAUGAGAAAAGGCUUGUUAUUUUUGUUAAAGAAAUUCAUAUUUCUGUGUCACAGAAUCAUAGCAUCAUGAAAUCACAGAACAUCUUAAGUUGGAAGGGAAGCACAAGGAUCGUGGAGUCUGUAGUGGAAAUACUAACUUAGGGCUUGAACCAGUGAUUGUGCACCUGGUGGGAAGGCAGGGCCAAUCCAGAGGAACUUAGGUGCGUGCACUGCAGCUGAGUGAGCAGAAGGGGUGGAUUCUGACUCCACCCCUUCCCAGACCUCAUUUAAGGGUUGGCAGUGGAGGUAAGAGUAUUCUUCUGGAGAUCUCUGCAUACCUGAGGUGUUCUGGAAGCAGGAAAAUAGAGGCAUCUAAACCACACAACAUGAAAUAUUUCUUAGAGCGGCCUGGCCAAGAUAAAAUCCCAUUUUAUGGCUCAGAACCACUCAAAGAUGAAGAAAUAAACACCCUAAAUAAAGAAGGCUCAAGUUCAUAUCCACAGGAAUAAACUGCUGAAGAGAUUAUUAACACAGAAGGGGAAAGGUCAUUGACACUUUGAGUACUGGUAGUAAUACCUAAGAAAAAUUGCUAGGUGCAGAGAGAGAUUGUCUAUAGAACUGAAGGAACAGUAAUGCCGUAGUCUGAAAAAUGGGGAGUACAUGCAGCAAACAUAACCCUUCUGAUUCACUGCCAAGUCAUUAAAUGUACAUGUAGCCUGCCUUAAAAACGUUUUCUAUUUUCAAUGCAUUUAAAGUGAAUUAACACAUCUAAGUGAUUACACUUUUGUUCAUCUUUAUUAUCUCAGGGAUUUAGUUGCAAUCUUGGAAAUGUUGCCUCUUUAACUUGUCACUCAUUUUCAGUGCUUACUUGGGCUAACUAAAUGACAGCAAAGUACUCUUGCUUCUAAACAAUGAGCACCAUGAAAGCCACCUGGAUGGAUAUGCGCUGGACUAGGCCUCUUCAUCUACACAUGGCCCAAAGGCCCUGAGCUCUAAUUUGCAUCUGGCUUGGAAGCUGGCCCUGGUGACAUCCACAGUUUCUCUCACUCAAACUACUCUGUGAUAUCAUGGCAUGCAGAAGAAACCCAUAGAAGCUCAUGAUAUUUGGAGGACCUCCACUUUUGCCACUGGUAUUAUGGGCUUCAUACAGUUACUAACAAGGGGUUUCACUGAUGUAAACGGCAGUGUUUUUGAAGUAGUACCAGGGAUGUAGACAGAAAUGAAAACGUAUAUUCCUUCUAAUUAGACAAAAUCCAGUUGGAUUCAUUUAAGCAAAAACUCAAAUGUCCUUUUAGUAACAAAUAUCCUUCAAGAAAAUGAUACUAAGAGAAAUGCAAGAGAACUCAGUUAUAUUUUCAGAUUUCAAUUAAAAAAAAAUAAAAUACUUGCCUGUGUUUAACAUAGAAUAAU